UACGUAGGCAGCGAGCGUUGUUCGGAGUUACUGGGCGUAAAGAGUGCGUAGGCGGUUUUCUAAGUUUGGUGUGAAAUCUCCCGGCUUAACUGGGAGGGUGCGCCGAAGACUGGAAGGCUUGAGUAUGGGAGAGGUAAGCGGAAUUCCUGGUGUAGCGGUGAAAUGCGUAGAUAUCAGGAGGAACACCUGCGGUGUAGACGGCUUACUGGACCAUUUCUGACGCUGAGACACGAAAGCGUGGGUAGCAAACAGG
rnacentral:rRNA from 1 species